GAUGAACGCUGGCGGCGUGCCUAAUACAUGCAAGUCGAGCGAACAGACGAGGAGCUUGCUCCUCUGACGUUAGCGGCGGACGGGUGAGUAACACGUGGAUAACCUACCUAUAAGACUGGGAUAACUUCGGGAAACCGGAGCUAAUACCGGAUAAUAUAUUGAACCGCAUGGUUCAAUAGUGAAAGACGGUUUUGCUGUCACUUAUAGAUGGAUCCGCGCCGCAUUAGCUAGUUGGUAAGGUAACGGCUUACCAAGGCAACGAUGCGUAGCCGACCUGAGAGGGUGAUCGGCCACACUGGAACUGAGACACGGUCCAGACGCCGACGGGAGGCAGCAGUAGGGAAUCUUCCGCAAUGGGCGAAAGCCUGACGGAGCAACGCCGCGUGAGUGAUGAAGGUCUUCGGAUCGUAAAACUCUGUUAUUAGGGAAGAACAAAUGUGUAAGUAACGAUGCACGUCUUGACGGUACCUAAGCAGAAAGCCACGGCUAACUACGU
rnacentral:rRNA from 1 species